UACGUAGGGUGCAAGCGUUAAUCGGAAUUACUGGGCGUAAAGCGUGCGCAGGCGGCUAUGCAAGACAGAUGUGAAAUCCCCGGGCUCAACCUGGGAACUGCAUUUGUGACUGCAUAGCUAGAGUACGGUAGAGGGGGAUGGAAUUCCGCGUGUAGCAGUGAAAUGCGUAGAUAUCUGGAGGAACACCGGUGGCGAAGGCGGCAUCCUGGACCGGUAUUGACGCUGAGGCGCGAAAGCCAGGGGAGCAAACGGG
rnacentral:rRNA from 1 species